rnacentral:rRNA from 1 species
UACGUAGGGUGCGAGCGUUAAUCGGAAUUACUGGGCGUAAAGCGUGCGUAGGCGGUUUGUUAAGUCCGCUGUGAAAGCCCUGGGCUCAACCUGGGAAUUGCAGUGGAUACUGGCAAGCUAGAGUGCGGUAGAGGAUGGUGGAAUUCCCGGUGUAGCGGUGAAAUGCGUAGAUAUCUGGAGGAAUACCGGUGGCGAAGGCGGCAUCCUGGACCGACAUUGACGCUGAGGAGCGAAAGCUAGGGGAGCAAACGGG